CGUGUGGUUCUAUUUUGUUGGUUUCUAGGACCGACCGUAAUGAUUAAUAGGGACAGGUCGGGGGCCAUCAGUAUUCCAAUUGUCAGGAGGUGAAACUCUUUGGAUUUUAUUGGAAGACUAACUACUGCGGAAAGCAUUUGCCAAGUGAUGUUUUCAUUAAUCAGGAACGAAAGUUAGGGGAUCGAAGACGAUCAGAUACCGUUCGUAGUCUUAACCAUAAACUAUGCCGACUAGGGAUCGGACGGUGUUAUUUUUUGACCCGUUCGGCACCUUACGAGAAAUCAAAGUGCUUGGGCUCCAGGGGGAGUAUGGUCGCAAGGCUGAAACUUAAAGUUAUUGACGGAAGGGCACCACCAGGGGUGGAGCCUGCGGCUUAAUUUGACUCAACACGGGAAAACUCACCAGGUCCAGACACAAUGAGGAUUGACAGAUUGAGAGCUCUUUCUUGAUUUUGUGGGUGGUGGUGCAUGGCCGUUCUUAGUUGGUGGAGUGAUUUGUCUGCUUAAUUGCGAUAACGAACGAGACCUUAACCUGCUAAAUAGCCCGUAUUGCUUUGGCAGUACGCUGGCUUCUUAGAGGGACUAUCGGCUCAAGCCGAUGGAAGUUUGAGGCAAUAACAGGUCUGUGAUGCCCUUAGAUGUUCUGGGCCGCACGCCGCGCUACACUGACCGGAGCCAGCGAGUACUUCCUUGUCCGAAAGGUCCGGGUAAUUCUUGUUAAACUCCGUCGUGC
rnacentral:rRNA from 1 species